rnacentral:rRNA from 1 species
AGCAGCCGCGGUAAUUCCAGCUCCAAUAGCGUAUAUUAAAGUUGUUGCAGUUAAAAAGCUCGUAGUUGAAUUUCGGAAUCUGUCCAUCGGUCGGGCUUCACUGUCCGUACUGGUGUGGUGGGUUCUUACCUUCUGAAUAACCAGCAUGCCAUUCACUUGGUGCGUUGGGGAAGCAGGACUAUUACCUUGAAAAAUUAGAGUGCUCAAAGCAGGCUAGUGCCUGAAUACAUUAGCAUGGAAUAAUAAAAUAGGACGGCAUGGUUCUAUUUUGUUGGUUUCUAGGAUCACCGUAAUGAUUAAUAGGGAUAGUUGGGGGCAUUAGUAUUCAAUUGUCAGAGGUGAAAUUCUUGGAUUUAUUGAAGACUAACUUCUGCGAAAGCAUUUGCCAAGGAUGUUUUCAUUAAUCAAGAACGAAAGUUAGGGGAUCGAAGACGAUCAGAUACCGUCGUA